UUCUUCUGUCCCUUUCUGACAGAACAAAAAACGUUCGGAGAAAUUAAUGGCUCGUAUUGCAGGUGUUAACAUACCAGAU
rfam:Legionella nautarum strain ATCC 49506 Lnau_ctg023, whole genome shotgun sequence.